GGAACUGUGAGACAGGUGCUGCAUGGCUGUCGUCAGCUCGUGUUGUGAAAUGUUGGGUUAAGUCCCGCAACGAGCGCAACCCUUAUCCUUUGUUGCCAGCGGUCCGGCCGGGAACUCAAAGGAGACUGCCAGUGAUAAACUGGAGGAAGGUGGGGAUGACGUCAAGUCAUCAUGGCCCUUACGACCAGGGCUACACACGUGCUACAAUGGCAUAUACAAAGAGAAGCGACCUCGCGAGAGCAAGCGGACCUCAUAAAGUAUGUCGUAGUCCGGAUUGGAGUCUGCAACUCGACUCCAUGAAGUCGGAAUCGCUAGUAAUCGUGGAUCAGAAUGCCAAGGUGAAUACGUUCCCGGGCCUUGUACACACCGCCCGUCACACCAUGGGAGUGGGUUGCAAAAGAAGUAGGUAGCUUAACCUUCGGGAGGGCGCUUACCACUUUGUGAUUCAUGACUGGGGUGAAGUCGUAACAAGGUAACCGUAGGGGAACCUGCGGUUGGAUCACCUCCUUACCUUAAAGAA
rnacentral:rRNA from 2 species